CGACCGGCGCACGGUGAGUAACGCGUAUGUAAUCUACCUGUAACAGAGGGAUAACCCGGAGAAAUCCGGACUAAUACCUCAUAGCACAUAUUAUUCGCAUGAAUUUUAUGUUAAAGAGACUCGGUUACAGAUGAACAUGCGUUCCAUUAGCUAGUUGGCGGGGUUACGGCCCACCAAGGCAACGAUGGAUAGGGGUUCUGAGAGGAAGGUCCCCCACACUGGUACUGAGACACGGACCAG
rnacentral:rRNA from 1 species